CUAAUUUGGCAUCAAUUUUAUGGGUGUUACAAGUUGGUAUCAGAGCCUUGGUUUGAGUGAAUUGGAGGAACACUCGUGUGACUCCAGUCUCAAAUCAAGGAAAAGAUUUUUAAAAUAAUUUUUUUCAAAUGGUUUUCAAAAUAAGUAAAGGAGGAUGCAGGGUGUACGAUCAGCCGGAGCCAGUAAGUAGACCCCAAAAUACAAUAUGAUUAUUUGAUAUUGUGAUAUGUUAGAACAUCAUGCUAGUACUAGGCUAGGGAUCUUCAGGAAUUACAUGAUAGAAUUACCUGAUUACAUGAUGUCUGCUAGCCUAGGGUUUCCUUAUAUGAGAUUGACAUCAUUACUGUAGUUAUUUGUGUAUGUAUAACGGCUGUAGAUAAUUAAGAUCUUAUAGCCUGAUAAUGCUUGAUUUGGCCUUAUGAUCUGUUCUUGUCGAUUAGGGACUUAGGGUAGGAUCAGAUAUUCGAAAGUCUAUAGGGUCCAGCGUUAUGUAUGGCGAACAUACGCUAGUGUUGCAGGGUUGGUGGAAGUUCCAUGGAUGACUGGGUUGUGUGAGGCCGGUAGGUCAGUUAUGAGACAAUUAGCCUUCCUCUAGGGUUGAGGUUUAUACAUAAGACAAAUAUAGGCCCGUACUACUUAAAGCAUAGGACCCACAUACCUAGCAUGGAAGUCACAACCCUUAGGGUUUAGUCGGGAGUUGGUUCCCAGUGAUUUAUGUGGAUUAUUUGAUAUCUUUUAGUAUGUUUCAGAAUGGUGAUGACGAUACGCUUUGUGAUUGGAUCCGAUUCAGGAUCAGGAUCAGGAGGCGGAGGCCAGGAGGGGCCAACAUCACCUGAUCCUGUGGUGCAGAUGGGGACAAAUGAGUUAGACGCCAGGAUUCGAGAAAUCUUGCAUGAUGAGGUUGCCCCUUUGUUUCGGGCACAACUACCGGAGAUGUUUGGGUCUAUUAAUACCGCCAUGGUAUAGUACUCUGACGAGCGAUACGUUACCCUUGCAGAGACGGCUGCCUCUGCAGCUUCAUCGGUUGUAACAGUGGAAGGGGGAGGAGUAAGAGCCACUUGGGGCUUCCAGUAUAGGGACUUCGAUAACACGAAGCCCCCUACUUUUGAUAGGACUCAGGACCCCAUCAGAGCUAUUAGGUGGGUUUCAGAUGUGGAGGGGUGUUUCAUUACUUGCUCGUGUGCUACUGACCAGAAGGUCAGGUAUGCUCUGAACCUGCUAAGGUCCGGGGCCAAGGACUGGUGGUGAUUGACGACUAGGUCGUACACUGAUGAUCAGAGAGCUGAUGUUACUUGGGAGCUGUUCAAGGAUAUGUUCCGCGCCCGAAACAUUCCACGGGUUGAACGGGAACGGUUGUCACAAGAGUUUUUGAGUUUGAGACAGGAAGGGGAGUCGGUGACGGAGAUCACCCACAUGUUCACAGAGAGGGCGAUGUUCUGCCCAGAGUUUGCUUCCGAGUAGGCUCAGGUGACCUGUUAUCUGAGCAUGCUCAAGACUAACAUCCAUCAGUUUGUGUCUACCCAACGAUGUGAUACUCUUCUGGAGUUGUAUAAGGCUGCUAGGCGGCAUGAGUUGGAGAUUUAGCUACAGUUGAGGGGGUAACAUCAGGCCCCGACACAGUCUCAGCCGGUGCUAAAGCAGUCUAAGACCGCUUAUUCUUGGAUUAGGGGUCAGCAGAGCCACACUUGUGGAAAGUGCGGUAAUGGUCAUUCUGGAGUUUUUCGGACGGCUAGUGGGUGCCACAAGUACGGCAAGGAGGGGCACUAUGUUAGGGAUUGUUGCCAGUACGUCCAUGCAUCAGAUAUGAAGAUAUGAUAUCACUGUCAUCAGGUUGGUCGCGUGAAGACCAACUGUCCACAGAUCGCCGCCAGGUCGACGCAGGCUCUAGCGCUGGCUACAUUGAGGAUUGCAGAUGGGAGGCCAGUUAAGGUAGAGCCUCCGAAGGGUCAGGGGCGUGCCUUCCAGCUUACAGCAAAGGAGGUCAGGGCAGCACCGGAUGUGGUUGUUGGUAUGUUUCUAUCCUUUAUCUUAUAUAUUAUAUUUGUUUUAUGCUUAUCUAUUGUACCUGUGAUUAGUUACGUUUUUAGUGAACUCCUUACCUGCAUUGGUAUUAUUUAAUUCGGGGGCUAGUCAGUCUUUCGUAUCUCAGACAUUUAGUAGGGAGUUCAAUGUGGCAGUAGGUGAGUAAGAGUGUCCGUUGCGAGUCUCUAUCACCAACGAACACAGGGUUUCUGUUUCUUCGGUGUACCGAGGAUGUGUGUUAGAGAUUUUCGGAGUGUCCUUUCCGAUAGAUUUGAUUUCGAUUCCCAUGGGAGAGGUGUGUGUGAUUGUGGGGAUGGAUUUUCUUAGUUGAUUUGGUGCCAUGAUAGAUUGCGAUGGCCAACGAGUGGUAGUUCGAACCCUAAGUGGGGGAGAACUAAUUGUAUNUGUAUAACGGCUGUAGAUAAUUAAGAUCUUAUAGCCUGAUAAUGCUUGAUUUGGCCUUAUGAUCUGUUCUUGUCGAUUAGGGACUUAGGGUAGGAUCAGAUAUUCGAAAGUCUAUAGGGUCCAGCGUUAUGUAUGGCGAACAUACGCUAGUGUUGCAGGGUUGGUGGAAGUUCCAUGGAUGACUGGGUUGUGUGAGGCCGGUAGGUCAGUUAUGAGACAAUUAGCCUUCCUCUAGGGUUGAGGUUUAUACAUAAGACAAAUAUAGGCCCGUACUACUUAAAGCAUAGGACCCACACACCUAGCAAGGAAGUCACAACCCUUAGGGUUUAGUCGGGAGUUGGUUCCCAGUGAUUUAUGUGGAUUAUUUGAUAUCUUUUAGUAUGUUUCAGAAUGGUGAUGACGAUACGCUUUGUGAUUGGAUCCGAUUCAGGAUCAGGAUCAGGAGGCGGAGGCCAGGAGGGGCCAACAUCACCUGAUCCUGUGGUGCAGAUGGGGACAAAUGAGUUAGACGCCAGGAUUCGAGAAAUCUUGCAUGAUGAGGUUGCCCCUUUGUUUCGGGCACAACUACCGGAGAUGUUUGGGUCUAUUAAUACCGCCAUGGUAUAGUACUCUGACGAGCGAUACGUUACCCUUGCAGAGACGGCUGCCUCUGCAGCUUCAUCGGUUGUAACAGUGGAAGGGGGAGGAGUAAGAGCCACUUGGGGCUUCCAGUAUAGGGACUUCGAUAACACGAAGCCCCCUACUUUUGAUAGGACUCAGGACCCCAUCAGAGCUAUUAGGUGGGUUUCAGAUGUGGAGGGGUGUUUCAUUACUUGCUCGUGUGCUACUGACCAGAAGGUCAGGUAUGCUCUGAACCUGCUAAGGUCCGGGGCCAAGGACUGGUGGUGAUUGACGACUAGGUCGUACACUGAUGAUCAGAGAGCUGAUGUUACUUGGGAGCUGUUCAAGGAUAUGUUCCGCGCCCGAAACAUUCCACGGGUUGAACGGGAACGGUUGUCACAAGAGUUUUUGAGUUUGAGACAGGAAGGGGAGUCGGUGACGGAGAUCACCCACAUGUUCACAGAGAGGGCGAUGUUCUGCCCAGAGUUUGCUUCCGAGUAGGCUCAGGUGACCUGUUAUCUGAGCAUGCUCAAGACUAACAUCCAUCAGUUUGUGUCUACCCAACGAUGUGAUACUCUUCUGGAGUUGUAUAAGGCCGCUAGGCGGCAUGAGUUGGAGAUUUAGCUACAGUUGAGGGAGUAACAUCAGGCCCCGACACAGUCUCAGCCGGUGCUAAAGCAGUCUAAGACCGCUUAUUCUCGGAUUGGGGGUCAGCAGAGCCACACUUGUGGAAAGUGCGGUAAUGGUCAUUCUGGAGUUUUUCGGACGGCUAGUGGGUGCCACAAGUACGGCAAGGAGGGGCACUAUGUUAGGGAUUGUUGCCAGUACGUCCAUGCAUCAGAUAUGAAGAUAUGAUAUCACUGUCAUCAGGUUGGUCGCGUGAAGACCAACUGUCCACAGAUCGCCGCCAGGUCGACGCAGGCUCUAGCGCUGGCUACAUUGAGGAUUGCAGAUGGGAGGCCAGUUAAGGUAGAGCCUCCGAAGGGUCAGGGGCGUGCCUUCCAGCUUAC
rnacentral:lncRNA from 1 species